rnacentral:rRNA from 1 species
GCCCUUGAGUUUGAUCAUGGCUCAGAAUGAACGCUGGCGGCGUGCUUAACACAUGCAAGUCGCACGAGAACUCUUCUGCUUGCAGAAGAUAGUAAAGUGGCGCACGGGUGAGUAACGCGUGGGCAAUCUACCUCUGAAUUGGGGAUAACCCCGCGAAAGCGGGGCUAAUACCGAAUAAUAUUCCGAGAACUUAGGUUUUUGGGAUCAAAGGUGGCCUCUACAUGUAAGCUACUGUUUAGAGAUGAGCCCGCGUACCAUUAGCUUGUUGGUAGGGUAAUGGCCUACCAAGGCAACGAUGGUUAGCUGGUCUGAGAGGAUGAUCAGCCACACUGGAACUGACACACGGUCCAGACUCCUACGGGAGGCAGCAGUGAGGAAUUUUGCGCAAUGGGGGAAACCCUGACGCAGCAACGCCGCGUGGGUGAUGAAGGCUUUCGGGUUGUAAAGCACUUUUCUGAGGGAAGAGGAAGGACGGUACCUCAGGAAUAAGUCUCGGCUAACUACGUGCCAGCAGCCGCGGUAAUACGAAGGGC